rnacentral:lncRNA from 1 species
AUAGGUGUUGGUGCAGAACGGUUAAGAAGGCUCCUUCUGUACCAGAAGUGAGGCCCAAGUAGGAGCUUAUUCUGAGUCAGUGGAAAUCGUGCAGACCUUCCAGAAGGGAAUGAUGUAAUUGGAAAGCAUUUUUGGAUACUGCACGGCAGUCGUUUGAAGAAAAAACUGGAGAGAUGGGGGAUGGAAGCCUGGGAGUCACAUUUUUUCAAGCAAGACAUCACAGAGGGUGAGGCCCAGUGACAGAGAUGACAGAUAUUCAAAGAUGGAAUGAAAGAGGUUUGGUGACUGGAUAUAAGCAACGAAACAGGAAGAAUUGAAUUUGGGUCUGAUAUUUCCUGGAUGCAAGAUCAGGAGGAUGUUGGCACCAUGGCUUAGUGGGGAAACUGGGGACCGAUUCUGGAGGUAUACCAGCAUGGUGAGUUUGGUUUUAGAUGGGUUGUGUUUGACAUAGGGCUAGCAAUUCUAAGUGAAGAUGUCUAAAGAAAGAUAGAAGUGACUCAGCUCUGAAGUUCUGAAAUGAUCAGCCAUCAGCGUGGCAUGAGGAAGACCUAGGAACAGACAGACUGGGGAGAAGACACAGAGCCAAGCAGGACCUGGCCUGCAGCCCAAACCCUGUGGAAUCCCUACAUUCAAGGACCAGGUUGAAGUGAAGCCAUUGACAGGAACUGAGAUGCAGUAGUGUUCUGGAAGUCAAGUGAGGAGGAGGAUUGAAGAAGAGGUUGGUCAAAAUUCUGGGGGUUGCCCAGUGGAAACACCAGACUGCAAAGCUUUGAGAAGUCUGUAUGAGAUGAACAACUGGAAAAGGUUCUUCGUGAAGAAUUUGUGUGGUGAAGAGCUGGAAUAGCGGCUUGAGGGAGAGAAGCCAGAUGGAGUCUCACUCUGUCGCCCAGGCUGGAGUACAGUGGUGUGAUCCGGGCUGACUGCAAGCUCUGCCUCCCGAGUUCACACCAUUCUCCUGCCUCAGUCUCCCGAAUAGCUGGGACUACAGGCUCCCACCACCACACCCGGCUAAUUUUUUGUACGUUUUUUUUUUUUUAGUAGAGACAGAGUUUCACCGUGUUAGCCAGGAUGGUCUUGAUCUCCUGACAUUGUGAUCCACCCGCCUUGGUCUCACAAAGUGCUGGGAUUACAGGCGUGAGCCACCGCACCUGGCCAUGUUGAUUUGUUUUAAUGGUAGUUGCAAUACUUGUGAGAGUGACAUCCACCUGGAUGCUGACUUGAAUGGAAUUUCAUAACUGUUGGGUACUGACCAUGAGUUGGUGUGGGGACAUACAAAGUUGAACAAGACAUAGGCUUGCCUCAUAGUGUCUACAGCCUGGAAGAGGGAAGAAAGUGACAACACAAAUAGUUCUGCAUCUUAUGAAUUCAUGGGAAGAGGAGAGGUGUCAUAAGACAGAAAACCAGAAGUUUUGGCAACCGUAUGCUGAUUCUGCCAUCUCCAGCCUGAUUCCUUGGGAGAGGUUAACCUUCCACAGUGGUGGCAAAAGUCAGCAGGCAAUGAAGGCUAUUUCCACCUGAGUCACCAGAAAGAAUGGCUAGGUCAUAAGCCACAUGGCUGGACUCUAUCUACCUCCCUGUAAUCUCCACUCUUUCACCUGUGCCAGCAAUGGUUUAGAGAUGAACAGACCAUAAAGACUAUGGAAAUCCAAUAAUCUUUAAUGCAUUUGCUCUGUCAGUGACAUUUGCCAUAGGAGAGAGAGAGAUUUGGAAUUUAUAAUUUGUACACCCUGAUUCUGCACAGCCUUAGUCUCUGACAAUGUGUGAAUGCAUAUUUGGAAGGGACACAUUCUCCCAGUUUACUGCAAUAUCCUCGCUCCCUAUUAAUUACACCCAGUGAUUAAGCCCACAAUGCCUUUUAAAUUUUCCCAGCAAGCCUUGUACAACAAUCCAAAUCAGGCCAAAAGUAGGAGGAGAGCUAUUUUCUUCCUGCCUGCUUUCCCUCUGAGCAUACAAAUUUGGAGGCCCCAUAACAACUGCUCCCCUCUUCAUGCUGGCAGAGCCUAAUUAUUUCUCAACUUAUCCCUAAACAAAGAAUAGAUCACCAAAAUACUUCAGAUGAAACGUAGAGCAGACAGGUCCUGGGCUGGGAAUCCAGGAGACUGAUGCAACAAAUGCAACAAAGAGCAUUAAGAGACUAGCAAUGUCCAUGAAGAAGGGAACCUAAUAAGUAAGCUGCCACAGCUCAAGUCCUCCUGGCCAAAGCCAGGUCAUGUCCCUCUAUAACCAGCCAGUGAGAAGGGAAUGAGGUCCCUAAACGGGUUCGGGGGAUUCAUGAUUCUCUCUGGGGACUGGAGAGAGAGCCUGGAGGUCUCACUUUCUUGAGCACAUCGGGGUGACUGAUGGACCCUGCCGGGUGGUCAAGGUGAGAUGGCUUCUGGCACAGGUAUUGGAUGUGACAUAAUCCUUGCGAAGGGCCUAGACAGUUAAGGAAGUGCACCCUACCUCCUGAAAGCUCCCUCCAUACCUGGCACUAAAAGGUAUUAUCACCAGUUCAGAUAUUUUGAUAUAUAUGGUUCGCUUCUGUCUGAUGACUCCCUGCAAAAAGGCUACCCUCCAAGCUACCCUCUAGGGUGAGUCAUUAGACAGAACAAGGAUAUAACACAUCCCCUGCUCUCCUAAGGAAAUUCUCUCAGUGUGAAUUUUCUUGUGCUGAAUGAACAAAGAUUUUUUUUUGUUUGUUUGUUUUUUUUGGUUUGUUUUUAGACAGUCUCAGUCUGUCACCCAGGCUGGAGUGCAGUGGCACGAUCUUGGCUUACUGCAACCUCUGCCUCUGGGGUUCAAGUGAUUCUUGUGCCUCAGCCUCCCGAGUAGCUGGGAUUACAGGCACCUGCCACCACGCCCAGCUAAUUUUUUUUUUUUUGUAUUUUUUGUAGAGAUGGGGUUUUGCCAUGUUGGUCAGGCUGGUCUUGAACCCCUGACCUCAAGUGAUCCUCCCGCCUUGGCCUCCCAGAGUGCUGGGAUUACAGACAUGAGCCACUGCGCCUGGCCUCAAUGAGUAAAUGUUUUGCUAAAAAAUUUCCCACACUGCCUCAGCAUAAAGCCUUACUUCAGUGUCAACUUUUGGUGCUGAACAAGGCACUCCUUGGCUGAAACCUUCCCACAUUCUAUGCAUUCAUAAGGCUUUUGCAGGGUGAACUUUCUGGUGCUGAGCAAGGUUAGAGGGACAGCCAAAGGCUCUCUCACAUUGUCCCCACUCAUAAAACCUUUCUGUGUUGUGAACUUUCUGGUGCCCUGCAAGGUGGACAUUUCUGCUGUAGGAUUUCCCACACCUGCUGUACACAUAAGGGCUUGCUCCAGAGUGAAGUCUCUGGUGGUGAACAAGGCUGGAGCUCUGGCUAAAGGAUUUCCCACAUUCUUUGCACUCAUAAGGACUUUCUCCAAUAUGGGUUCUUUGAUGUUGACCAAGUCCAUAUUUGGAGCUCAAAGAUUUCUUACGCAAUGUAAAUUAGUAUAACCACUAUGGAGAACAGUUUGGAGGUUCCUCAAAAAACUAAAAAUAGAGCUACCAUAUGACCCAUCAAUCUGACUUCUAGUUAUAUACCCCAAAGAAAAGAAAUCAGUACAUUGAAGAGAUAUCUGCCCUCCCAUCUUUGUUGCAGCACUAUUCACAAUAGCCAAGAUUUGGAAGUAACCCAAAUGUCCAUCAACAGACAAAUGGAUAAAGAAAAUGUGGUGCAUAUACACAAUGGAGUAGUAUUCAGCCAUAAAAAAGAAUGAGAUCUUGUCAUCUGCAACAACAUGGAUGGAACUGGAGGUCCUUAAGGUUAAGCAAAAUAAUCCAGGCACAGAAAGAAAACAUUGCAUGUUCUCAUCUAUUUGUGAGAACUAAAAAUUAAAACAAUUGAACUCAUGGAGAUAGAGAGUAGAAGGAUGGUUACCAGAGGCUGGGAAGGGUAGUGAGGGCGAGUGAGGGGGAAGUGGGGUGUUUAAUGUGUCCAAAAAAUGGUCAGAAACAAUGAAUAAAGUCUAAUAUAUGACAGCAAAAGAGUGUGACUAUAGUCAAUAAUAAUCGAAUGGUACAUUUAAAAAUAACUAAAAGUGUAUAUUUGGAUUGUUUGUAACAUAAAGGAUAAAUGCUUGAGGUGAUGGAUACCCCAUUUACCCUGAUGUGAUUGUUACACAUUGUAUGCCUGUAUCAAAGUAUCCAUAUACCCCAUGAAUAAAUGUAUAUACCUACUAUGCACCUACAAAAAUUAAAAUAAUA